rnacentral:rRNA from 1 species
UGGGGAAUAUUGCGCAAUGGGCGAAAGCCUGACGCAGCGACGCCGCGUGAGGGAUGAAGGUCUUCGGAUCGUAAACCUCUGUCAGCAGGGAAGAAAUUUUAGUGUGCCAAUCAGCAUUAAAUUGACGGUACCUGCAAAGGAAGCACCGGCUAACUCCGUGCCAGCAGCCGCGGUAAUACGGAGGGUGCGAGCGUUAAUCGGAAUUACUGGGCGUAAAGCGCUCGUAGGUGGUAUGUCAAGUCAAGGGUGAAAUCCCCGCGCUCAACGUGGGAACUGCCUUUGAAACUGGCAGACUGGAGUGUGUGAGAGGAUAGUGGAAUUCCAGGUGUAGGAGUGAAAUCCGUAGAUAUCUGGAGGAACAUCAGUGGCGAAGGCGACUAUCUGGCACAUAACUGACACUGAGGAGCGAAGCGUGGUAGCAAACAGGAUUAGAUACC